CUGUGGUAUCAAUAUACCUCAUUAUACCUCAUUGUUAUUACGUAAAAUGUUAAUGUGUAAGGAACUUAUAUGGUGCUAAAAGGAUAAACUUGUAUGGUGCUAUUAGAAGGUAACAUAGGUGCCGUUAAGAACGCUUACACGCAGCUGCCGAUGUUCGUUUGUUUGGGUUACGCGGGCAGCGAGUCUGUCGCUUAUAAGUGGAUAUGAAUUGUAGACUCAGCGAUAUGGAGCGGUGAUUCAAUCCGUGGCACUGGAGGUCAGUAUAUUUUGCUAAUAUUUCUAUGUUAUAACACAAUGUUAAGCUAUGUAAUGUUCACAUACUGUGUAUAAGAGUGUUUAGAAUAGUUUAAGCCAUGAAUGCAACAAUAUAUGACUUAGGCUUCAGUGCAAGGAGCCAGAAAGCCAUGGGAUGUGUAAAUUGAUUAUGUCAUCACUUUUCCCAUAGUUUCACGGCACGACUGGGGCAUGUAUGGCACACAAAAUGGAGGACUCUUUGUCCAAAGCCACAUCAUAGGAAUAAAGGAAAAUUAUACCAACGAAGUUUCCAUGUCCUGCUGGCAGUCCAUGCAUGUCUGCGUGUCUGUGUAAACCAGCCCUAAGGGGUGACUGUUCCAUGUCCGCUUCAGUGAAACUCCAAGAUACUGCAGCUACAAUCAAGCUGCAGUCAUAAGGAAGCACGGCUCUGCAGUGACCUGCAGUAACCACCAACGAUCUGCAGUAAACUUCAGCAACCCUGCAGUGGCCUGCCAUGUAUGUAACUUCACACUGGUCACUUCAAUGUUUCCAUCUCCAUGGACAGGUGAGGCAACACUCCUAGCAAGCACUUACAACCUGUCUACAUCCACUCAUCACCUGCAAGUGAGGGGUUUCCAAGUUCUCUAGGUCACCGGCAUUCAAGAAGUAAGAAGUAAACUCAGUGUUACAUAAAGAUUCACUUAGGUGAUAACAAGUAUAAAUCUUCUUACAAUGAGUUCUAAUGAGGAUGCCACAGUUAUUAAGGGUGACCCAGGUAAGGGCCUGGAUGAGCAGGUGGACGAGGCAGCACGCAGUGAAAGACAGAGAACACAAACAGAGAAGGGUAAAGAGUAUACAAUUCAGGUGUACAAGAGUAGGUGUUCAACAAAUAAGCGUGCUUGGAAGAGGGCAGCAAACAGUAUCUAUGCCAAAGUACAGGGGUCAAGUUGUACUAAUGAAUUACAGGAAUGUAUAAAAGUUAUGGAUACAAAGUUUGAAGAGUUUUACAGUGCUUGCGAGGAAUUAAUUGGAGCUGAUCCUGAAAGUAAUGAACAAAUUACUCAGGAGUUGGAUGACUGUGAGAAGUUUAACUUUAAUGUAAUCCAUGAAGUUGUAGAGAAAAUUAAAUCUCUGCAGCAUGAAAAUGAUUCAGCAAUAUCUGAUAAUUCUAAUGUUUCCAAUGUUUCAAAGGGUAAACAAGAACAGGCUGGAGCUAAGGCAGACCCUGAGGCUGUAUAUAGUAAUGGAAUGAGUCAGUUGGACCCAAGUCAACUUGACAAUGAAUUGAAGGGAAAGGAGCAGAUGCUUCAACAGUACCUAAACAAUCAGCCUCAAACUCUUGCUGAAGUGAAAGCCCAGCCAGUUAAAAGGGAAGAACUUAGCCAACCCUUUGACUUAAAUGAGGUAAAAGAAGAAUUGUAUAAAUCAGUUGAUAGGAUUGUUGAUAUGUUACCUAACAAGGAACUUAACCCUAAUGCCAAGGUUUUCUCACCAAAAGUUGACUUGCAGGAACCUGACACACAUGUGAACAACAAUUCUGGUUGUCGGUCAAAUGGCACUGAUAAUAAUGUUAGGCAUACUACCCAGCCUUCCCCAGGUUCAGUCAGUCAGUUAGAUGCAAUGCAGAGGAUAGCAGAUAUUAUGUCAAUGAGGCAAACCAGAGAUAACCUUCCACGUCCAGAACCAGAAGUGUUCAAGGGAGACAUGUUAGUUUUCACAACAUGGUUAAAAAGUUUUGAAAUUUUCAUUGAGUCCAGAACUACUGAUUUUACCGAAAGGCUCUUUUACCUAGGAAGGUACACCGAUGGUGAAGCCAAGGAAGCAAUCAGUGGAUUGCUUCAGCUAAAUACUGAAGAAGCUUACAUAAAGGCUAAGAAAACCCUAAAGGGUAGGUUUGGAAAUCAGUUUCUUGUGUCUAAUGCCUACAGAAAGAAGUUAUAUGAGUGGCCAAAAAUUCAGCAGAAUGAUGGCCCAGCACUAAGGAAAUUUGCAGAUUUCCUGGACAGCUGCAAGACAGCAAUGGAAAGCAUACCUCAUCUAGUGGUGUUAGAUGACUCACAGGAGAAUGUCAAAUUAUUGAAAAAGUUACCUGUCUCACUAGUUGAGAAAUGGAACACAGUAGUGUACAAGUAUGCUUCUAGAGGUGAUGAUGAUAGUGACGAUGAAGGUCUAACAGACAUAAGUUCUGAACAAUAUCCUCCCUUUAAAAGGUUCUGUAAGUUCAUACGUAGAGAGGCUACAAAGGCGUGCAACCCAAUAUCAUCGUACAGUGCAGUCAUAGAUAAGAAUCAAAGGAGCACUGCAGUUGUAGCCAAAGGAAGAAAUAGUAGUUCAAGUACUGAUAAAUCUGGAAACAGAAGUUUCAAGACAGAGGCAUCAGAGGUAAACUCGUCACACACAACAACGGACAACAAGGCUAGAUAUGAUAAAAGGCAUGAAGUAAGAAAAACAGGGCCAAGGAGACUGAGCUGCCUUUAUUGCAAUGAAGAGCAUGAAAUAGAUGUGUGUAAAAGGUUUAACUUGCUUGAUAACAAUGCAAAGUUUGACUUUGUGCAGAAGCAGUACUUGUGUAGAGGAUGUUUGAAGCGUGGUCACAGAAAGAUAGAUUGCCGUCAUAAGAAAUGUUGUAGUAUAUGUCAACGAUACCACCCAACAUCUCUUCACAAUAAUGCUCUUGCACAAAAUAGUGCUCCAACUGUCAGGGCAGGAGAGUCAGAUAAAGCAACUCAGCCAAAGGCAAAUGAAAGCUCAGCAGUUUCAAACAAGAUUAACACCAGUCAGUCUAUGACUGGAGAUAUGCACACCAUGAUUGUGCCAGUGUGGUUACACCACAGAGACAAUGAACACAAUAAAAAGUUGGUGUAUGCAUUAUUGGAUUGUCAGUCUGAUGCCUGUUUCAUCAAAGAAAGCACCUUGGAAAGAAUGGGAGUUAGUGGCUCACCAGUACACCUCAAGCUCUCCACAAUAACGGGAGAACAGGUAGUCCCCUGCACAAAAAUCAGUGGACUUGUUGUACGAGGAUUCAGUGAGCACAUGCAAAUAGAUCUUCCACCUGCAUAUUCCAAGGAAGAUAUUCCUGCAAAGGAGGCUCAGAUACCAUGCCCUGAAACAGCCCAAACCUGGCCACACUUAGCAAGAAUCUCUAACAAACUGAUGCCUUAUGAUUCAAAUGUAGAUGUGGCACUUCUUAUUGGAGCUAACUGUAUCAGAGCCAUUAAGCCCAAAGAGAUUAUUGUGGGAGAAGAAGAUGAUCCUUAUGGACUAAAAACACACUUAGGAUGGGGCGUUGUUGGCCAAGCAAUUAAAGAAACUAAGAAAGUUUCAGAUGAUGUAGUGAGAGCAUAUAGAACUAUAGCCCAAGAAGUUGUCAUCAGUGAAGAAAGAAAAGUUAGUUUCCUUGUUGUUCCUACACAGACAAAGGAGUUAAUAAAUCCAGCACAAGUCAGGAACAUGUUUGAGCUUGAUUUUAAUGAUAAAGGAACUGACAACACUCCCUUUUCCUAUGAUGACAAAGGAUUCCUGAAAAGGAUGAGAGAGGGAGUGAGUCAGCAGAGAGAAGGACACUAUGAGCUGCCUCUUCCACUUAAGAAUAAUGACAUCAAGCUUCCAAACAACAAGGACAUGGCCUUGCAUAGGCUCAUGAAGUUAAAGGCAAAACUUAUGAGAGAUAGAAAGUACCACCAAGAUUACAAGGAAUUCAUGAAAGAAUUAAUUGACAAAGGCUAUGCAGAAACUGUGCCAGCCAGGGACUUGCAACGAGCAGAUGGUCAGGUGUGGUAUAUACCUCACCAUGGGGUUUACCACCCAAAGAAACCAGGAAAGAUAAGAGUGGUAUAUGAUUGUAGUGCUAACUACAGAGGUCAUUCUUUAAAUGGUCACCUGUUACAGGGCCCAGACCUAACAAACAAUCUGGUUGGGGUUCUAUGUAGAUUUCGUCAGGAAGUGACAGCCUUUGUAUGUGACAUAGAAGCAAUGUAUCACCAAGUCAAGGUGAACCCUGAACAAAGAGAUUUGCUGCGCUUUCUGUGGUGGAAUAAUGGAAAUCCAGGUGAGAAUAUGCUUGAAUACAGAAUGACGGCCCAUUUGUUUGGAGCAACAUCAUCUCCAAGUGUUGCUAAUUUUGCACUUAAGCAAGCUGCAAAUGACUAUGAGGCUCAGUAUGGAUAUGAAGCAGCAAACUUCAUCAGGAAAGAUUUUUAUGUUGAUGAUGGACUUAAAUCAGUACCAACAGCACAGGAUGCCAUUGAUCUGCUAAUGAAAAGCAAGGCAUUGUGUAAAAUGGGAGGUUUUAAUCUCCAUAAGUUUCUGUCAAACAGUAAGGAAGUGUUAGCAGCAAUAGCUCCUGAAGAAAUGAAUAACACUGUCAAGAGCCUGGACUUAAGUAAAGACAUGCUACCUGUAGAAAGAACACUUGGAGUGGAGUGGUGUGUAGAAUCUGAUACUUUCCAGUUCAGAAUACAGGUCAAAGAAAAGCCACUCACAAAAAGGGGCAUAUUGUCUACUGUGAGUUCAAUAUAUGAUCCGUUAGGCCUUGUGUCUCCUCUCAUCCUCAUUGGCAAAGGGAUACUCCAGGAGUUAUGCCGUGAAGGAGUAAGUUGGGAUGAGGAGAUACCACAGUAUGUGAGGCCACAGUGGCAGCAAUGGAGAGAUGACCUACACAAAUUAGAGCACUUAAAAAUACCACGAUGUUACAAGCCUGAAGGAUUUGGUGAAAUUAAGAAAGUUGAACUGCAUCAUUUUUCUGAUGCCAGUCAAAAGGGAUAUGGUCAGUGCUCUUACAUAAGACUGAUCAACACUGCUGAUCAAAUACACUGUGCACUUGUAAUGGCAAAAUCAAGAGUGACACCCCUCCGAGCCAUCACUGUGCCGAGAUUGGAACUCACAGCAGCAGUAGUGUCGGUGAGAAUCAGUGCAGUCUUAAAGAAGGAGUUAGACUAUGAAGAUAUUCAGGAAGUGUUUUGGACAGACAGUAUGGUAGUGCUGGGAUACAUCAACAAUGAUUCUAAACGAUUUCAUGUAUAUGUAGCCAACAGAGUCCAGCAGAUAAGAGAUCAAACUUCACCAAGUCAGUGGAAGUAUGUGGAAACAGAGCACAACCCAGCAGACUAUGCCUCAAGAGGGCAGUCUGUAGAAGAGUUAAUUAACAACGACAAGUGGUGGAAUGGACCACGCUUCUUGUGGCAACACUUUGAGAUGAAUGAUAACCCAUCAGAGCAUCAUGAAUUGGAAGAUGAUGAUCCUGAAGUAAAAAGAGUUGCAUCAUGUGCUACACAGACACAUGAGCCGUUUAAUGUACUAGAGAGGCUGAACUGUUUCUCUGAGUGGUUCCGUAUGAAGAGAGCCAUUGCAGUGUGCCUUAGACUUCAAAGGAUGUACAAGAAGAAUGCAGAUGGGACACAUAAAGGAAGAAGCCAAGAAUACAUUCCACUGACAGUACAGGAACUGAAAGAAGCUGAAACUGAGAUAAUAAGGCAGGCCCAGGCUCAUGCCUUCCAUGAGGAAAUAAAGAUGCUGAAGGGUGCAGGAAACCAUGAGUCUUCCCCACAGACAAAUAGAAGAGAAACAACAGUAAAGAAAACAAGCAAGUUGUACAAACUUGAUCCCUUCAUAGAUGAAGAUGGAAUAGUAAGAGUUGGGGGAAGAAUAAGGAUGUCUACUCACCAAGUAGCAAGACAUCCAGCAAUCCUGCCUAAGGAUUCUCAUGUUACUGAUCUACUGAUUUGCUACUACCACAAAAGGGUACAUCAUCAGGGUAGGGGCAUAACACUAAAUGAAAUUAGAGCAUCUGGGUACUGGAUUUUGGGGGGCUCAUCUCUGGUGGCUAGAUAUGUCUCAAAAUGUGUAGUCUGCAGAAGAGUUAGAAGUGACACACAAGGUCAAAAGAUGGCAGACUUGCCACAAGAUAGGCUAGAGCCUUCCCCUCCCUUUACUUAUGCUGCAGUUGACUUUUUUGGUCCUUUCUACAUCAAAGAGGGACGUAAAGAGCUAAAGAGAUAUGGGGUUCUUUUCACAUGCAUGGUAUCACGUGCAGUCCAUCUAGAGACAGCAAACAGUCUGGACACUACUUCCUUUCUCAGUGCCUACCGCCGCUUUAUAGGAAGAAGAGGGCCAGUAAGGCAGUUAAGAUCAGACCAAGGAACAAACUUUGUGGGUGCAAAAAACGAGUUAGCCAACUCUUUGAGAGAAAUGGAUGAGGAGAAGCUCAGAACCGAACUACUGAAGGACAGUUGUGAUUGGGUUCAUUUCAAGAUGAAUGUACCACAUGCUAGCCAUAUGGGUGGGGUGUGGGAGAGACAAAUAAGAACAGUGAGAAGCAUAUUGUCAGUGCUACUUGAUCAACAUGGACCUCAGUUAGAUGAUGAGACACUUAGAACAUUCAUGAUAGAAGCAGAGACAGUUGUAAAUGGUAGACCUCUAACUGUGGAUAACCUUACCUCUCCUACUAGCUUAGAACCACUGACACCCAACACUCUGUUAACUAUGAAGUCAAAGAUUGUGAUGCCUCCUCCAGGUAAAUAUGAAAGAAUUGACUUGUACUCAAGGAAACGUUGGCGUAGGGUACAGUUCCUUGCAAAUGAGUUCUGGUCAAGGUGGAAAAGGGAAGUUUUGCAGUCUCUUCAGCUUAGAAAUAAAUGGCAGAAACCUCAAAGAAACCUCAAGGUGGAUGAUAUUGUUAUUGUUAAGGAUUCCAACCUAGCUAGAAACCAAUGGAAGCUAGGCAGAAUAACUGAGUGUCUUCCAAGUGAUGAUGGUCUUGUGAGAAAGGUGAAAGUGAUGAUGUCAGACUCAUGUCUUGACAAUUCAGGGAAAAGAAUAAAGGCAAUGAACAUUGUUGAAAGGCCUGUUCAUAGUCUUGUUCUCUUGUUAGAAUGUACUACUCAGGAAGACCAGGGCGACCCCACCGAGGAGCCUAAAUGAUCUGUUUGUACUUAGGAAGUGCAAAGAUGAUGUUAGCAGUAUUUCAUGUAUCUGUAAUACUCAUGUUAUGAUCAAUGUAUUAAGUAGUUAUAAGUUAAAUUGUCCUACAAUUUAGGGGAGCCAUGUAACUGUGGUAUCAAUAUACCUCAUUAUACCUCAUUGUUAUUACGUAAAAUGUUAAUGUGUAAGGAACUUAUAUGGUGCUAAAAGGAUAAACUUGUAUGGUGCUAUUAGAAGGUAACAUAGGUGCCGUUAAGAACGCUUACACGCAGCUGCCGAUGUUCGUUUGUUUGGGUUACGCGGGCAGCGAGUCUGUCGCUUAUAAGUGGAUAUGAAUUGUAGACUCAGCGAUAUGGAGCGGUGAUUCAAUCCGUGGCACUGGAGUUUCACGGCACGACUGGGGCAUGUAUGGCACACAAAAUGGAGGACUCUUUGUCCAAAGCCACAUCAUAGGAAUAAAGGAAAAUUAUACCAACGAAGUUUCCAUGUCCUGCUGGCAGUCCAUGCAUGUCUGCGUGUCUGUGUAAACCAGCCCUAAGGGGUGACUGUUCCAUGUCCGCUUCAGUGACU